UACGUAGGAUGCAAGCGUUGUCCGGAAUUAUUGGGCGUAAAGAGCGAGCAGGCGGCAAACCAAGUCAGUUGUGAAAUUUUAGGGCUUAACCCUAAAGGGUCAACUGAAACUGGUUAGCUAGAGUGCAGGAGAGGAAAGCGGAAUUCCCGGUGUAGUGGUGAAAUGCGUAGAUAUCGGGAGGAACACCAGAGGCGAAGGCGGCUUUCUGGCCUGUAACUGACGCUGAGGCGCGAAGGCUGGGGUAGCGAACAGG
rnacentral:rRNA from 2 species